rnacentral:rRNA from 1 species
AUUGAACGCUGGCGGCAUGCUUUACACAUGCAAGUCGAACGGUAACAGGCCGCAAGGUGCUGACGAGUGGCGAACGGGUGAGUAAUGCAUCGGAACUUGCCCAGUCGUGGGGGAUAACGCAGCGAAAGCUGUGCUAAUACCGCAUACGAUCUAUGGAUGAAAGCGGGGGACCGUAAGGCCUCGCGCGAUUGGAGCGGCCGAUGUCAGAUUAGGGAGUUGGUGGGGUAAAGGCCUACCAAGCCGACGAUCUGUAGCUGGUCUGAGAGGACGACCAGCCACACUGGGACUGAGACACGGCCCAGACUCCUACGGGAGGCAGCAGUGGGGAAUUUUGGACAAUGGGCGCAAGCCUGAUCCAGCAAUGCCGCGUGCAGGAAGAAGGCCUUCGGGUUGUAAACUGCUUUUGUACGGAACGAAACGGCCUGGGUUAAUACCCUGGGCUAAUGACGGUACCGUAAGAAUAAGCACCGGCUAACUACGUGCCAGCCGCCGCGGUAA